rnacentral:rRNA from 1 species
AAAGAUGAAAAGCACUUUGAAAAGAGAGUUAAACAGUAUGUGAAAUUGUUGAAAGGGAAGCUCUUGCAACCAGACUUGUUUCCAACGGUUCAACCGCUGUUUUCAGUGGCCUAUUCCGUUGGUUCAGGCCAGCAUCGGUUCGAGUGGUUAGUUAAAGACUUUGGGAAUGUAUCUACCUCCGGGGGUAGACUUAUAGCCCUUUGUGUAAUGUGACCUACCUGGACCGAGGGACGCGCUUUUUGCUCGGAUGCUGGCGUAAUGGUUGUAAGCGACCCGUCUUGAAACACGGA